rnacentral:rRNA from 1 species
UAAACUAGAGAUAGAUACCCUAUUAUUUUAAGCUGUAUGUUGUUAGUAGAUAAUUAUUAUGAAAUCAUAAGAUUUUGGCGGUAUUUUAAGCUUUUUAGAGGAAUUUGCUCUGUAAUGGAUAAAACGCCUGGAUCUUACUUAAUUUAGUGAGUUCAAUUUGUAUACCACUAUAUUUAAUUAUAUUGAAUAAUGAUGUUUAGGAUUUUUCUUUAAAAAAUAUAUUAAGUCAAGGUGCAAUCUAAAAUUAUGAAUGAAGUGAAUUACAUUGAUUAUAAUUAAGAUUAUUAUGAAAGAUUUAAAUUAGGAUUUAAAAGUAAAUUAUUAAUAGAAUGAAUACUUGAAUGAAGCUCUAGAAUAUGCACAUAUCGCCCGUCGCUCUCAAGUUUGAGAUAAGUCGUAACAUAGUAAAA